GCUGUUCUCAUCAGAGCAGUCACACAUGGGGAAUAUAACACAAGCUGUGCUAGACUUCAUAAAGAAAGAUUGGAGUAUAUAGAUUAGAGUAUAUAUGUGAAAGCAGUCAUUUUAUUUUCUACAAAUCUACAUUGAGCUCUAUGACACUGAUUUGACCAAACUGUAAACAUAUUAGUAUUAUACACACUCCAGUACAGCAGGUGGCAGUAUUCAGCUUUACGCUGCUUUCUAUAACUCGCCACACAAGAAGAAGAAGAAGAGGAGGAGGCGGCGGAGGAUAUCCGGUUUACUCGUGAUGAGCUUCUGGAUUUGAGUGUCUCAGCUGCUGAUCUAUUCCUGCAUUCAGCUGAAUUAUGAAGGCUGAUCAAUGACUGGAGAUCUGUGAUUGUUCAUCAGUUUCUGCUGAAGAUCAAACUCUUCAGGUCCAUCAUGGGUAACACACACACUGCUGGAGAUCAGGAUUUGUCUACAGGAUGCAGUUCAGUUCAUCAGAAGAGAGCAGAAGCAGAGCCCAGCUGUGUGUCUAUGAAGAGUGACGCGUCUAUGCACCCACCAAUACAUUUUAAGAGUGGAAACACAGGACCUGCUGUCAGUUUGGUUCAUCAGAAGAGAGCAGAAGCAGAGCCCAGCUGUGUGUCUAUGAAGAGUGACAAGUCUAUGAUCCAACCAAUAACAUUUAGGAGUGAAAACACACGACCUGCUGUCAGUGUGGAUGGAGAUGAUCAGACUGGAGACCUG